rnacentral:rRNA from 1 species
GGAGGGUGCAAGCGUUGUUCGGAAUUAUUGGGCGUAAAGAGCGUGUAGGCGGUCCGGUAAGUCAGAUGUGAAAGCCCUGGGCUCAACCCAGGAAGUGCAUUUGAAACUACCAGACUUGAGUACGGGAGAGGAGGGGGGAAUUCCCGGUGUAGAGGUGAAAUUCGUAGAUAUCGGGAGGAAUACCAGUGGCGAAGGCGCCCCUCUGGACCGAUACUGACGCUGAGACGCGAAAGCGUGGGGAGCAAACAGGAUUAGAUACCCUGGUAGUCCACGCCGUAAACGAUGAGCACUAGGUGUAGCGGGUAUUGACCCCCCUGCUGUGCCCGUAGCUAACGCAUUAAGUGCUCCGCCUGGGGGACUACGGUCGCAAGAACUAA